rnacentral:lncRNA from 1 species
AGUCCCGGAACACUCUCGGCCCUCUUCAGCCACUCCCUCCCCAACCCACACGCCAUCAACCUCCAGACCCUCUCGCCGUGGCUUAGAGGUGUCUCUGACAACGUGGCACACUGGGAAGGCCUUCUUUCCUGCUACCAAUACAAAUGCAUUCUGAAUUUGAUAUGUCAUUAAAUGUAAAAAUACAGCCAAUUUGAAACAAGCAAAUGGAAAUUCCCAGGAACCAAAAACAGAAAGAAAAAUCAGAGCUACCGCAGUGCUGUCCCUGCAGACAGAAUUUGGGAGAGGUACUCAGAGUCACCUCCUGUGAGCCUAUGCAAGCCAGCUCCUGCACAACCCUGGUUUUAGUCCAGCCUUCUGCAGAAUUCCACAUUAAACAGGAUGAAGAAUAGGUUGUUAGCAGACUGAGGUACUUGGGGCAACAUUUCGUACACAACAGGAGGGAGAAACGACUCCAGAAAAACAAUCAGAUUUUGGUGAAACUGAUGUUUGCAAGUGUGAGUGAGCCCCAUGUGCUGAAGCUUCAGGAACCCCUGAGAUGGCACAAGUUCUGCCGUACUGGGCAACGGAUGGUCUUGAAGCACACAAGACACUGGAAGACAUGAGGGCAAUUGCUACACGCCAAGCCCGGUGCCAAGCACGUUGUGCAGGUUGUUUCGUUGAUUCCGGGCCUGGCCUUUGAGAUCUGUGGAGGAUACCAUGAACUGGCUGGCUCUGCAUCCUGCUUGCAGGCGCUGGCAAGCUGGAACCUGCUUUUCUACGCCACACUGCAGAGGGCCCUGAAUGUGAUCUAUGAUUGCAACAAGCAGCCCUGAUGCGGAUCCGGAGGGCAGGGAUGACGUGGGGGCUGCCUUUCUGGUUGACCUGCUGGUUGUCUUGUGGUAGAGGAGAUUUUGCCUUGCAAUUUUACAUACUUAUGCUACGUGGAAGGCUGGGUGGCGUGACUUCAGGAAAGAGACACACAGAGAGAGAGAGAAAGAGAGAAAGAGAGAACCCACCUACCUGUUUUGCAAAAGUCUCAUGAAUCAUCCCUUCCUGUGGUCCUGCUCCCUGAGAUCCUUUCACCGCUCACAGUGGGCUACUUCUAAGAGCGUGCCUGGCACAGGGUCACUGAGAGCAUAGUCUUAAUAAAACAAUGAUGGAUGCUUGUCUCUCUCA